GGGGAUGGGCUGUAGCUCAGUGGUAGAGCAUCUGCUUUGCAUGCAGAAGGUUCCAGGUUCAAUCCCCAGCAUCUCCA
rnacentral:tRNA from 1 species